CUAUAAUGGAGAGUUUGAUUCUGGCUCAGAACGAACGCUGGCGGCGCGUCUUAAACAUGCAAGUCGAACGAUCUGUAGCAAUACAGGGAGUGGCGGACGGGUGAGGAACACGUAGGAAUCUACCUCGAAGAGCGGGACAACUUUGGGAAACCGGGGCUAAUACCGCAUAGUACAGAGAUGUUAAAGGGCUAGCAAUAGUCGCUUCGAGAUGAGCCUGCGGUCUAUCAGCUUGUUGGUGAGGUAAUGGCUCACCAAGGCUACGACGGAUAGCCGGUCUGAGAGGAUGAUCGGCCACACUGGCACUGAGACACGGGCCAGACUCCUACGGGAGGCAGCAGUUAAGAAUCUUGCGCAAUGGGGGCAACCCUGACGCAGCGACGCCGCGUGAAGGAUGAAGGCUUUCGGGUUGUAAACUUCGGUAGACUGGGAAGAAGAACUACGUUCGUUGAGGGCGUAGAGUGACGGUACCAGUCUGAAGCCCCGGCUAAUUACGUGCCAGCAGCCGCGGUAAUACGUAUGGGGCAAGCGUUGUUCGGAAUUAUUGGGCGUAAAGGGCUCGCAGGUGGUUUGUUAAGUUGGUGGUUUAAUCUCUGGGCUCAACCCAGAGUCAGCCUCCAAAACUGGCGAACUUGAGUACGAUAGGGGAUAGCGGAAUUCUCGGUGUAGCGGUGGAAUGCGUAGAUAUCGAGAGGAACACCAAUGGCGAAGGCAGCUAUCUGGAUCGUAACUGACACUCAUGAGCGAAAGUGCGGGGAGCAAACAGGAUUAGAUACCCUGGUAGUCCGCACCGUAAACGUUGUAUACUAGUUGUUGGUGGUUUCAACGCCAUCAGUGACGUCGCUAACGCAUUAAGUAUACCGCCUGGGGAGUAUGCUCGCAAGGGUGAAACUCAAAGAAAUUGACGGGGGCCCGCACAAGCGGUGGAGCAUGUGGUUUAAUUCGACGAUACGCGAGAAACCUUACCUGGGUUUGACAUGGAUUUGACUGGGGUAGAGAUACCCCUUCCCGCAAGGGCAGAUUCACAGGUGUUGCAUGGUCGUCGUCAGCUCGUGUUGUGAGAUGUUGGGUUAAGUCCCGCAACGAGCGCAACCCCUAUCUUCUGUUGCCAUCAUUAAGUUGGGCACUCUGAAGAAACCGCCGGUGACAAACCGGAGGAAGGUGGGGAUGACGUCAGAUCAGCAUGGCCCUUAUAUCCAGGGCUACACACGUGCUACAAUGGCCGGUACAGAGGGACGCAAUGCCGCGAGGUGGAGCAAAUCCCACAAAGCCGGUCUCAGUUCAGAUUGCAGUCUGCAACUCGACUGCAUGAAGUCGGAAUCGCUAGUAAUCGCAAAUCAGCAUGUUGCGGUGAAUACGUUCCCGGGCCUUGUACACACCGCCCGUCACACCACCCGAGUUGGAGGUACCCGAAGAGGCUGUUGCCAACCGCAAGGAGGCAGGUCGCUAAGGUAAAUUCGGCGAGGGGGGUGAAGUCGUAACAAGGUAGCCGUACCGGAAGGUGCGGCUGGAUCACCUCCUUA
rnacentral:rRNA from 1 species